rnacentral:rRNA from 1 species
UACAGGGGGGGCGAGCGUUGUUCGGAAUUAUUGGGCGUAAAGGGCGCGUAGGCGGUGCGGUAAGUCCGCAGUGAAAUCUCUGGGCUCAACUCAGAGUCUGCUGUGGAAACUGCCGUGCUUGAGUGUGGGAGAGGUGAGUGGAAUUCCACGUGUAGCGGAUGAAAUGCGUAGAGAUGUGGAGGAACACCAGUGGCGAAGGCGACUCUUUGGCCUGUAACUGACACUGAGGCGCGAAAGCGUGGGGAGCAAACAGG